UACGUAGGGGGCAAGCGUUGUCCGGAAUCAUUGGGCGUAAAGCGCGUGUAGGCGGCUUGGUAAGUCUGCUCUGAAAGCCCGGGGCUCAACCCCGGGAGGCGGGUGGAUACUGUCAAGCUCGAGUACGGAAGAGGCGAGUGGAAUUCCUGGUGUAGCGGUGAAAUGCGCAGAUAUCAGGAGGAACACCAAUUGCGAAGGCAGCUCGCUGGGACGUUACUGACGCUGAGACGCGAAAGCGUGGGGAGCAAACAGG
rnacentral:rRNA from 1 species